GAUGAACGCUAGCGGCAGGCUUAAUACAUGCAAGUCGAGGGGCAACAGGGGUAGCAAUACCUGCUGGCGACCGGCAAACGGGUGCGGAACACGUACAGAACCUUCCUUUAAGCGGGGGAUAGCCCAUAGAAAUGUGGAUUAAUACCCCAUAGUAAUGUUUGAUGGCAUCAUUAGACAUUUAAAGAUUUAUCACUUAAAGAUGGCUGUGCGGCUGAUUAGGUAGUUGGGUGGGUAACGGCCCACCAAGCCAGCGAUCAGUAACUGGUGUGAGAGCACGACCAGUCACACGGGCACUGAGACACGGGCCCGACUCCUACGGGAGGCAGCAGUAAGGAAUAUUGGUCAAUGGACGCAAGUCUGAACCAGCCAUGCCGCGUGAAGGAUGAAGGCCCUCUGGGUUGUAACUUC
rnacentral:rRNA from 1 species